UACGUAGGGUCCGAGCGUUGUCCGGAAUUAUUGGGCGUAAAGGGCUCGUAGGCGGUUUGUCGCGUCGGGUGUGAAAACCUACAGCUUAACUGUGGGCUUGCUUUCGAUACGGGCAGACUUGAGGCAUGCAGGGGAGAACGGAAUUCCUGGUGUAGCGGUGAAAUGCGCAGAUAUCAGGAGGAACACCGGUGGCGAAGGCGGUUCUCUGGGCAUGUUCUGACGCUGAGGAGCGAAAGUGUGGGGAGCGAACAGG
rnacentral:rRNA from 1 species